AUCAACUUAGGGUAGGCUGGACAGUGAGAAGCUCAGUGAGAAGUUACACCUCCCACCCAUCACUCUAACCACACCGACUGCCAUCCAGCCAGCCGUGGGACAGUAAAGAACACAUCACACAUCAAUCUGCACCGUUACAACUUCAAGUUGGUGUCUGCCACAAAUGUUGUGGACCCUGUUUCUUCUCGCGAGAGUUCCAUCGCGAUGUGCCAGGGAAUCCCGUUAUGUCAUCUCAAUCAGCUAAUUUUACAACGCCGAUAAAAGAAGCCAGUUUAUCAGUGUUCGAGGAGAAAUGCUCUUUGUGCUCAAAUUAGGACUAUAGCGAUAAGUCGCGUCUGUCUGUGACUCUGAGUUCCCUCCUUGUGGAAAUAACUGAUCUUG
ensembl:lncRNA